rnacentral:lncRNA from 1 species
AAAACAAAAUUAUUUGACUGAAUAUGCAUUUUAUUGAUUGAAAAGGUGUGGCUCAAAUGAGCAAUACAAAAGGAAGCAAUUCCUGAAAAGAGGUAAUUGCACUCAAAAGGAAAAAUCUAUCCUAUUGGCAAUGUGAAACCCGUGAUCUCAUCAAGUUCCAACUCGGUUACACCCCAUAUGUCCUCAGACUCUCCGUGCUUUCUGCCUUCUGAACAAGACG